CAUAUACAAAGAGAAGCGACCUCGCGAGAGCAAGCGGACCUCAUAAAGUAUGUCGUAGUCCGGAUUGGAGUCUGCAACUCGACUCCAUGAAGUCGGAAUCGCUAGUAAUCGUAGAUCAGAAUGCUACGGUGAAUACGUUCCCGGGCCUUGUACACACCGCCCGUCACACCAUGGGAGUGGGUUGCAAAAGAAGUAGGUAGCUUAACCUUCGGGAGGGCGCUUACCACUUUGUGAUUCAUGACUGGGGUGAAGUCGUAACAAGGUAACCGUAGGGGAACCUGCGGUUGGAUCACCUCCUU
rnacentral:rRNA from 2 species